AUGAACGCUGGCGGCGUGUCUAAGGCAUGCAAGUCGAACGAUUUCAUUUGUGAUUACAUCAAUGAUGAAAUAGUGGCGAACGGGUGCGUAACACAUUGGUAACCUACCCCUAUCUCGGGUAUAACUCAGAGAAAUCUGUGCUAAUCCCCGAUAUGUCAUUUGACACAAGUCAAAUGAUGAAAGCUUCGGCGGAAAGGGAGGGACCUAUGGCCCAUCAGCUAGUUGGUAGGGUAAUGGCCUACCAAGGCUACGACGGGUAGCGGGCGUGAGAGCGCGACCCGCCUCACCGGAACUGAGACACUGUCCGGACUCCUACGGGAGGCUGCAGUCGAGAAUCUUCCCCAAUGCGCGAAAGCGUGAGGGAGCGACGCCGCGUGCCAGAAGAAGCCCUUCGGGGUGUAAAUGGCUUUUACGGGGGACGAACGUUGACGGUACCCCAUGAAUAAGAGGUUGCUAACUCUGU
rnacentral:rRNA from 1 species